rnacentral:rRNA from 1 species
GUGUCAGCAGCCGCGGUAAUACGAAGGGUGCAAACGUUGCUCGGAAUCAUUGGGCGUAAAGCGCACGUAGGCGGCUCCGCAAGUCGGAUGUGAAAUCCCUCGGCUCAACCGAGGACGUGCAUCCGAAACUGCAGAGCUUGAGUAUGGAAGAGGGUCGCGGAAUCCCCGGUGUAGAGGUGAAAUUCGUAGAUAUCGGGGGGAACACCAGUGGCGAAGGCGGCGACCUGGGCCAAUACUGACGCUGAGGUGCGAAAGCGUGGGGAGCAAACAGGAUUAGAUACCCCGGUAGUCC